UAACUGCCUCUCUUGGUUGCUAUGCAACACUGCUUUUUCUGCUUGCCAACUCUUCCAGUUGAAUCACUUCAGGCUGAUAAGCCUCUUCAUUUUCCAAAUCUAAACUGACCCUGACAUUAUCCCCCCUCCCCUGCAGACUAAGCUCUGGGCUUCUUUGGAUACCAUCAAUGAAACAGGCAUGUGAGGCAGGGAGGAAGAACAUCACUGACAUCGUCCUAGGAAUGCUCCUAUGGUGCAUAACCUUUCCAAUCCACCAGAUGCUAGAGACAGCUCUAAUGGAGCCAGGAGUCCAGAAUUGAUACUCAGCUGUCACUACAGGUAGCUCUUCUGAUAAUUUUGAAGCAACUGGGAGUGCAGGGGGUGGCUGCAACAAAUAAAAGUCUAGGUAUAUCCAUGAUACUCCCUGAUACUUCAGCCAAGUAUCAACCAAGUUCAAGCCUUGCUUAGCUUAAGCGCAGACAAGAAUGACCAUCUACUAUCUCCUGGAUCAUCUAUUUUGAAUUAAAUAUACUUUCUAAAAAAA